rnacentral:lncRNA from 1 species
GUUGCCCAACCUGGAGCGCAAUGGCCCGAUCUCGGCUCACUGCAACCUCCACCUCCCAGGUGCAAACCAUUCUCCUGCCUCAGCCUCCCAAGUAGCUCAGAUUACAGGCGCUCACCACCAUGCCCAGCUAAUUUUUGUAUUUUUAGUAGAGACAGGGUUUCACCAUGUUAGUGAGGCUGGUCUCGAACUUCUGACCUCGUGAUCCGCCCGCCUCGGCCUCCCAAAGUGCUGGGAUUACAG